GAAAUUGAAAAACCCACCAACAGAAUACUCAUUCAUCGAGUGUGAGCAUUGAAACUUAUUUGUCUCUUCCAGAUUAAGUGGACCCUUUGAGAUGGUUAGCAACAAGGGUCCUAAGCGGAGAAAGAACAACAAACACAACCAUCGAAUGUCGCAUAAAGGUUAUGCAAACCUCGUUGAAAAGAUGCUAAGCCUUUGGAAUAGUAUAUAUGAGUUUUAAUAAUGCUACAUGUAAUGUGGUAUAACUAACCAUAAUGUAAUUUCCUUUGGUCAGAAAGCAAACAGAUUUAGUAGUGGAGUAGUUGAUCGUGCUUUAGUAUGGAAGAAAGCACGAACAACCAAAGAUGGGGAAAUUUUGGACAAAGACACAAUGGAGGUGGCUGAUCGAAUCGUAAGACGACCUACUUGUUUUAAGUCGUGUGACUUAUUCAACGGAUAACGUAACUUCAAACAUCCUAACACAAGCUAUCGAAGGGCAUGAUCCACGGGGCAGGAUUCCAGGGGUGGGUCUGAUGUCACGUUGAGUAAAUACUUCACACUGCUAGAGAGAAACAGAAGAAAGUCAGUAAAGAAGAAGAUUACGUUGAAGAACGAGCGAGAACGACAACUCUUAUCUUAUAGUUGGGUGAUUUGUACGGAUGGUCUCCGUUAAAGGCCAAAAUAAGAAACAACCAAAAUUUGAAAGUUGUAUGAAAAGUGGCCUCUUGCUUGCCUGUAAACCCUAGACUUCGUUAUUGUUGAGUUUUUGGCAAAACACUAAAGGUGCUGUUGUUCCACAUGGUUUAUUUUGUAGAAAGGUAAGUGGCUUCAAGCAAGGAACCCACCUCCCUUAUUUACAAAUGUCUAAGUUAGAAAGACUUUAAACUUUAGUGUGCUAGCUCUAAUUAAAUUAUUUUUGUACUCUCUAGCUGGAGAGUGGGAGAAAGGUGAGUAUUCAAAAGCUUUGAGAGAGUGUUUUUGUAAUUAGGGUAGGGAGAGAGAAACUUAUUCUUUAUGAUUGUAACAUAUUUUCACAUAGUGGAUUUCUUUAUCAUUUGUGGUU